UACGAAGGGGGCUAGCGUUGUUCGGAAUUACUGGGCGUAAAGGGCGCGCAGGCGGCUCUGAAAGUCAGAUGUGAAAGCCCCGGGCUUAACCUCGGGAACUGCAUUUGAUACUCUGGAGCUUGAGUACGGGAGAGGAUAGUGGAAUUCCCAGUGUAGAGGUGAAAUUCGUAGAUAUUGGGAAGAACACCGGUGGGCGAAGGCGGCUAUCUGGACCGUAACUGACGCUGAGGCGCGAAAGCGUGGGGAG
rnacentral:rRNA from 1 species